rnacentral:rRNA from 1 species
CUGGUGCCAGCAGCCGCGGUAAUUCCAGCUCCAAUAGCGUAUAUUAAAGUUGUUGCAGUUAAAAGCUCGUAGUUGAAUUCGGGGUUAGUAGAUUGGUCAUGCCUCUGGUAUGCACUGGUCUUACUGAUUCCUCCUUCCUGAUGAACCGUAAUGCCAUUAAUUUGGUGUUGCGGGGAAACUGGACUGUUACUUUGAAAAAUUAGAGUGUUUAAAGCAGGCUAACGCUUGAAUACAUUAGCAUGGAAUAAUGAAAUAGGACGUUCGAUCUUAUUUUGUUGGUUUCUAGGAUUGACGUAAUGAUUAAUAGGGAUAGUUGGGGGCAUUAGUAUUCAAUUGUCAGAGGUGAAAUUCUUGGAUUUAUUGAAGACUAACUACUGCGAAAGCAUUUGCCAAGGAUGUUUUCAUUAAUCAAGAACGAAAGUUAGGGGAUCGAAGACGAUCAGAUACCGUCGUAGUCUUAACCAUAAACUAUGCCGACUAGGGAUCGGAUGAUGUUAAUUUUUUAAUGACUCAUUCGGCGCCUUACG